UACAGAGGAGCCAAGCGUUGUCCGGAUUGACUGGGCGUAAAGCGCACGCAGGCGGUUGCGCGCGUGGGGUGUGAAAUCUGGCCGCUUAACGGCCAGGCGCCAUCCCAUACGGCGCGACUGGAGUGAUGCAGAGGUCGAUGGAAUUGCCGGUGUAGUGGUGAAAUGCGUAGAUAUUUGAAGGAACAUCAGUGGCGAAAGCGACUUCCUGGACCAAUACUGACGCUCAUGCACGAAAGCGUGGGGAGCAAACAGG
rnacentral:rRNA from 1 species